rnacentral:rRNA from 1 species
UACGGGGGAGCAAGCGUUGUUCGGAUUUACUGGGCGUAAAGAGCGCGCAGGCGGUCGUUCAAGUCGCGUGUGAAAGCCCCGGCUCAACUGGGAGGUCACGCGAUACUGAUCGACUCGAAGGCAGGAGAGGGAAGUGGAAUUCCCGGUGUAGUGGUGAAAUGCGUAGAUAUCGGGAGGAACACCAGUGGCGAAGGCGGGUUGCUGGGCUGAUACUGACGCUGAGGCGCGGAAAGCCAGG